rnacentral:rRNA from 1 species
GAUGAACGCUAGCUACAGGCUUAACACAUGCAAGUCGAGGGGAAACGGCAUUAAGUGCUUGCACUUUUUGGACGUCGACCGGCGCACGGGUGAGUAACGCGUAUCCAACCUUCCCAUGACUAAGGGAUAACCUGCCGAAAGGCAGACUAAUACCUUAUGGUCUUCACUGACGGCAUCAGAUGUGAAGUAAAGAUUUAUCGGUUAUGGAUGGGGAUGCGUCUGAUUAGCUUGUUGGCGGGGUAACGGCCCACCAAGGCAACGAUCAGUAGGGGUUCUGAGAGGAAGGUCCCCCACAUUGGAACUGAGACACGGUCCAAACUCCUACGGGAGGCAGCAGUGAGGAAUAUUGGUCAAUGGGCGAGAGCCUGAACCAGCCAAGUAGCGUGCAGGAUGACGGCCCUAUGGGUUGUAAACUGCUUUUGUAUGGGGAUAAAGUCAAUCACGUGUGAUUGUUUGCAGGUACCAUACGAAUAAAGACCGGCUAAUUCCGU